GAUGAACGCUGGCGGCGUGCCUAAUACAUGCAAGUCGAGCGAACGGACGAGAAGCUUGCUUCUCUGAUGUUAGCGGCGGACGGGUGAGUAACACGUGGAUAACCUACCUAUAAGACUGGGAUAACUUCGGGAAACCGGAGCUAAUACCGGAUAAUAUUUUGAACCGCAUGGUUCAAAAGUGAAAGACGGUCUUGCUGUCACUUAUAGAUGGAUCCGCGCUGCAUUAGCUAGUUGGUAAGGUAACGGCUUACCAAGGCAACGAUGCAUAGCCGACCUGAGAGGGGGAUCGGCCACACGGGAACUGAGACACGGUCCAGACUCCUACGGGAGGCAGCAGUAGGGAAUCUUCCGCAAUGGGCGAAAGCCUGACGGAGCAACGCCGCGUGUGUGAUGAAGGUCUUCGGAUCGUAAAACUCUGUUAUUAGGGAAGAACAUAUGUGUAAGUAACUGUGCACAUCUUGACGGUACCUAAUCAGAAAGCCACGGCUAACUACGUG
rnacentral:rRNA from 1 species